GGCGCGGCCUAUACAUGCAAGUCGAACGAACUCUGGUAUUGAUUGGUGCUUGCAUCAUGAUUUACAUUUGAGUGAGUGGCGAACUGGUGAGUAACACGUGGGAAACCUGCCCAGAAGCGGGGGAUAACACCUGGAAACAGAUGCUAAUACCGCAUAACAACUUGGACCGCAUGGUCCGAGUUUGAAAGAUGGCUUCGGCUAUCACUUUUGGAUGGUCCCGCGGCGUAUUAGCUAGAUGGUGGGGUAACGGCUCACCAUGGCAAUGAUACGUAGCCGACCUGAGAGGGUAAUCGGCCACAUUGGGACUGAGACACGGCCCAAACUCCUACGGGAGGCAGCAGUAGGGAAUCUUCCACAAUGGACGAAAGUCUGAUGGAGCAACGCCGCGUGAGUGAAGAAGGGUUUCGGCUCGUAAAACUCUGUUGUUAAAGAAGAACAUAUCUGAGAGUAACUGUUCAGGUAUUGACGGUAUUUAACCAGAAAGCCACGGCUAACUACGUGCCAGCAGCCGCGGUAAUACGUAGGUGGCAAGCGUUGUCCGGAUUUAUUGGGCGUAAAGCGAGCGCAGGCGGUUUUUUAAGUCUGAUGUGAAAGCCUUCGGCUCAACCGAAGAAGUGCAUCGGAAACUGGGAAACUUGAGUGCAGAAGAGGACAGUGGAACUCCAUGUGUAGCGGUGAAAUGCGUAGAUAUAUGGAAGAACACCAGUGGCGAAGGCGGCUGUCUGGUCUGUAACUGACGCUGAGGCUCGAAAGUAUGGGUAGCAAACAGGAUUAGAUACCCUGGUAGUCCAUACCGUAAACGAUGAAUGCUAAGUGUUGGAGGGUUUCCGCCCUUCAGUGCUGCAGCUAACGCAUUAAGCAUUCCGCCUGGGGAGUACGGCCGCAAGGCUGAAACUCAAAGGAAUUGACGGGGGCCCGCACAAGCGGUGGAGCAUGUGGUUUAAUUCGAAGCUACGCGAAGAACCUUACCAGGUCUUGACAUACUAUGCAAAUCUAAGAGAUUAGACGUUCCCUUCGGGGACAUGGAUACAGGUGGUGCAUGGUUGUCGUCAGCUCGUGUCGUGAGAUGUUGGGUUAAGUCCCGCAACGAGCGCAACCCUUAUUAUCAGUUGCCAGCAUUAAGUUGGGCACUCUGGUGAGACUGCCGGUGACAAACCGGAGGAAGGUGGGGAUGACGUCAAAUCAUCAUGCCCCUUAUGACCUGGGCUACACACGUGCUACAAUGGAUGGUACAACGAGUUGCGAACUCGCGAGAGUAAGCUAAUCUCUUAAAGCCAUUCUCAGUUCGGAUUGUAGGCUGCAACUCGCCUACAUGAAGUCGGAAUCGCUAGUAAUCGCGGAUUCAGCAGCCG
rnacentral:rRNA from 1 species